AGAGUUGUAACACCACCAGUUGCACCAAUCACGGAGUCAUAUGAUCAUUCCUGUGUUAGCUCAUUUCCUCCCUGAUCCCUGGUUGUCAAGGCUGGAAACAGAUGCAUGCAGAUUCUAUAAAGAAAAAAUGGAUUUUGAGGUCAGAAAGUUUGCAUAUCAACUGGCAGUGAUAUAUAACAUCAAACACCCACAAACAUGGGAUGACCGAUACACCAGUGAAGCAAGCAUUGAUGGAAGAGGAAGAGAGAAGAGGAAGCAAAAAUGCAAGAAAGAGAAUCUUAGGAAAGAAUAAAGGCGAGCAAAAGAAAAAGGAGAGAAAGCCCGCCAAGAAAAUGUCGAAAGCCAAUACUGAGGAUUCUGAGACCUCAGACGAUGAAAACUUUUGUGUUGUCUGUAUGGAGCCAUUUGGCAACUCGAAGCCAAAGGAAGUGUGGGUAAAAUGUGCCCUAUGCAAUCUCUGGGCCCACCAAGCCUCCACUCCCGGGUUACCAACAUUCAUUUGUCACCAUUGUGACUCUGAUUAAGAAUAUACACACAUAGACACACACACACACACACACACACACACACACACACACACACACACACACUGUCAUUGUUUUUUAUUUGACCUACAUGUUCUUUAUACAGGUACAUUGUAGUAGAGUUUUCAUUAAGCAUACAUAUCGUUAAGGAAGUUUGUCCUAGUACAUUAAUUUACACACACUCCUGAGUCAAACAGAAAGUGGAUUUGAGUUAUGGUCAGUCACAGAGAGAGAGACAUUGUUCUGGACUGUUAUUUUAUUUCAAUAAACCUCUUUUUGAUGCA